rnacentral:ncRNA from 1 species
AUUAAAACUAUGAAGAGAAGAGUAUGCUUUUGUUGAAUUUUCAGAGAGAACUACAUUUGGUGUGAGUAGUUUAAAUUAUAUAAAGCUGAAAACCACCUCUGAGUGACUCUAAUAAAGUCCGUAUUAAUCACGUUACGAUUAUUUAAGACUUAUAUUAUAUAAGUGAACUUGGGUGGAACCACGGGAUUUAUACUCUCGUCCCUUUU